CCAAUAAAAAUCAAGGGUUUUGAAAACAAAUCGGAGUACUUUUGCCACACGGAAACUUGGCGAUGAGUACCUUCCCGAAAAGCCUAAUCUAAUCUUAUGCCGCAGCAUUCCCCCCUGUGACUUUCUUUCUUUAUCAUAAAACCCUAGACAUCGUUUUUUUUUUGGGGUUUUCCCUAUUGUUAAUUCAAUCAGUUUUUUGGGGGGUUUUCCUUUAGUCUGAUUUUUUUAUUUAUUGUUUCGUGAUGGUACUACUGAUGAUGGAACGGAGAUAGAGCUAUUCGUCAUUGGAGCUAUUCGUGAUUGUUUUUGGAAUCAUUAUUUGAGAUUGAAGUAGAAGCUAUUCAGGAUAUCCUAGGUAUUUGAGAUUGAAGUAGAAGCUAUUCAGGAUAUCCUAGGUUUUACUCUGGUGUUGUUUUAAAGAUCAAACAACAUUGGACUUAGGUUCUAAUGACACUUCAAGUGAAAAUGAACUAUUGAAGUGUGCAGAGGUUGAGCAUUUUACAAAAUAUGAUCUAUUUCAUUUUUUAGAGGUCAUUUCACAACACCAAGACGAUGAGACCAGAAUGGAAUGCUGACUGCAGAAUAGUAGUGCAGUAAGAAAGAAUCCAAAUUCUGAAGAAGAGGUGAAAUUACCCAUGCAAAAUGAAAAAUUAGGGAAAGCUUUCAGGCAUUUGGUUAGAUAAUAUUUAAACUCAUAAAUGAAUCGGGUAAGCCUCCUAAAGUUGCAUUAAUUUCAACUGUUUACUUAUGUUCAAGGAAAAUAAGAACCUAUUUAAGUGUAGCCAGUACUUAGUAGGCUCAAAGCCUCCUUUUGGUCGAACGUUCUCAUUGAUAAUUUUGGCAACUACUUCAUACUGUGUCUACCUAUAUGAUUUGUAUUGGUUGUUUAAAUCUAACUAACUGAGUUAAUUUUUCCGGACACGACCAUUGUGACAUGUCCUUUAAGAAUUAAGGAAUGGUCGGAGUCCUUAAACAUGACUUUAACGAAAAUGCUCUAAACCCAUUUCUUAUCUCAUCUUUCAUCUCUCAUUUUGUUUUCCGUUAAAUGUGUUUUAAGAUUAUUUUCAACACAAGAUUAUGCAUAGCUAAUUAGGUAGCUGACUGAUCAAUUAGGCAUGGGACGUGGCCAACUUUUAAAAAUGUUGGUGAUUUUCGUGUAAUCUGUGCUAAUGUCAUCAUAGUGU